UACGUAGGGUGCAAGCGUUGUCCGGAAUCAUUGGGCGUAAAGAGCGUGUAGGCGGCUCGAUCAGUCCGCUGUGAAAGUCCAGGGCUCAACCCUGGAAAGCCGGUGGAUACUGUCGGGCUAGAGUACGGAAGAGGCGAGUGGAAUUCCUGGUGUAGCGGUGAAAUGCGUAGAGAUCGGGAGGAACACCAGAGGCGAAGGCGGCCCACUGGACAGACACUGACACUCAAGUGCGAAAGCGUGGGGAGCAAACAGG
rnacentral:rRNA from 1 species